UACAGAGGGGGCAAGCGUUGUUCGGAAUUACUGGGCGUAAAGCGCGCGUAGGCGGACCUGCAAGUCGGGGGUGAAAGCCCGAGGCUCAACCUCGGAACUGCCUUCGAUACUGCGGGUCUCGAGUCCGGGAGAGGUGAGUGGAAUUCCUAGUGUAGAGGUGAAAUUCGUAGAUAUUAGGAAGAACACCAGUGGCGAAGGCGGCUCACUGGCCGUACGUACGUGACGCUGAGG
rnacentral:rRNA from 1 species